rnacentral:lncRNA from 1 species
CUCAUCCAUUGAGAGCGAAUCCCAACCCGAGUGUCCAUAGCUAAAAUUUUUUAUGAAAUAUGAUCAUAUUAAAAGAAUUCUAGAUGAGCAGGUAAUUUCCUCCAGGAGGAAAUGAUAUCAAAGAUACCUGAUUCGUUGGCAAGGCCGACUUGAGUCCGAGGAUAUAUGGAUAACUCGAGAAGAGCUGUAAAGAAUUGAUAUUGAUCUACUCAAGCACUAUGAAAGUCGAGGCGGCCAUUAUUCGACGGAGUAGAAUUCUCUCCAGCCC